GUUUACUGUCUGUUCUUCUCUUCACUGCUGUAAUAGUCAUCUGUGUCUAUUUUAACAAUGAGACAAACCAACUACUAACACACAACUGUAACUUGACUAAAAAAAGAGAAGAGUUACUAACACACAACUGUAACUUGACUAAAAAAAGAGAAGAGUUACUAACACACAACUGUAACUUGACUAAAAAAAGAAAAGAGUUACUAACACACAACUAUAACUUGACUAAAGAAAGAGAAGAGUUAAUAACACAUAACUUUAACUUACUUAAAGAAAGAGAAGAGUUACUAACACACAACUAUAACUUGACUAAAGAAAGAGAAGAGUUACUAACCAAAUGUAGUAAGUUCCUAACCCGGAACAAAAUCUUGACUGAAGAAGAAGACCAGUUCAAAAAGAAGAGUGAAAACAUCAACAAUGCCUUAGCAGAUUUGCACUUCAGUAACUUCACAUGGAUUUACUACAGGUUCAGUUUUUAUUACAUUUCAUCUGAUCAUAAGAACUGGAGGGACAGCAGGCGAGACUGUGAAGAGAAAAGAGCAGAUCUGCUGAUUAUUAAUAACGAAGAGGAAGAAUUGUUUUUGCGUAUGCAUGCUGGUCAUGGUAUUUGGAUUGGCCUGACAGAAGAACAGGAAGUCUGGAAAUGGGUUGAUGGCACCACACUAACAUCUGGCUACUGGCUAGAUGGAUAUCCCCGAAAUUCUGGUUGUGCACUCAUGACUGAAUCUGGGUGGGCUGAUCAUACGUGUUCAGUAAAGUAUAAAUGGAUAUGUGAAAGAAGAAUUGUUUAAAUCUGUCAUGAUAUGAUGAUGUUUAUUUAAAGAAACCAUUUAGGCCUGUGUGUUCAAUAUGAUAAUAAAUAAAUUUUCUAAGAGUUUAUAUUUUAAGUUUUGACCAGAAAUGUCAGAUUCAUAACACUGCAUUUGUCCAUCUAUAGUUUUAGGCCAGUGUAUGAUAAAUGUGUUUAUAAACUUUAGCCUAA